rnacentral:ncRNA from 4 species
GCAAUGUGAUUUCUGCCCAGUGCU